rnacentral:rRNA from 1 species
GCAAGUCGAACGCGAACGGCUGUGCUUGCACAGCUUAUAGAGUGGCGCACGGGUGAGUAACACGUAGGUAAUCUAUCCUUUGGUUCGGGACAACCGUUAGAAAUGACGGCUAAUACCAAGUAAGCUUGAGACGGCCCUGGCUGUUUCGAGGAUAGCUGAGAAGCGACGAAGGAGGAGCCUGCGCUCCAUCAGUUAGUUGGUAAGGUAACGGCUUACCAAGACUGCGACGGAUAGCUGGUCUGAGAGGAUGAUC